rnacentral:lncRNA from 1 species
GGGGGGUAAGAUGUACGCAGUCCAUACCUCUACCUCUGAUGAAGUAGAAAGGCUGUUUCCGAAAGACCCCCGGCUCAAGGCACAAGAUAUCACACAAACACAUAGUAAAGCACAGAAGCAGAUGACAUAACAUAAAUACGGCAACCAUAAGGAAUAUAAAACAGAGGAAAGCAGAGGAAAGCACACAGAUUCGUAAUAAGCAUGGAACACUGA